CCCUUAGAUGUCCUGGGCCGCACGCGCGCUACACUGAUGCAUUCAACGAGUUUUACCUUGGCCGAGAGGCCUGGGCAAUCUUUUAAACCUGCAUCGUGAUAGGGAUAGAUUAUUGCAAUUAUUAAUCUUGAACGAGGAAUUCCUAGUAAACGCAAAUCAUCAAUUUGCAUUGAUUACGUCCCUGCCCUUUGUACACACCGCCCGUCGCUCCUACCGAUUGAAUGAUCCGAUGAAUAUCAUGGAUUGAGGAUGCAAGUAGGUUCGCCUAUCUUCAUCUUCGAGAAGUGAAGUAAAUCUUAUCAUUUAGAGGAAGGAGAAGUCGUAACA
rnacentral:rRNA from 1 species